AGAGUUUGAUCCUGGCUCAGGAUAAACGCUGGCGGCGCACAUAAGACAUGCAAGUCGAACGAACUUAACCAUUAGUUUACUAUUGGAGCGGUUAGUGGCGGACUGGUGAGUAACACGUAAGCAACCUGCCUAUCAGAGGGGAACAACAGUUAGAAAUGACUGCUAAUACCGCAUAUGCCUUAGAAUCACAUGGUUCAAAAGGGAAAGGAGCAAUCCGCUGAUAGAUGGGCUUGCGUCUGAUUAGAUAGUUGGUGGGGUAACGGCCUACCAAGUCGACGAUCAGUAGCCGGACUGAGAGGUUGAACGGCCACAUUGGGACUGAGAUACGGCCCAGACUCCUACGGGAGGCAGCAGUCGGGAAUAUUGCGCAAUGGAGGAAACUCUGACGCAGUGACGCCGCGUGCAGGAAGAAGGUUUUCGGAUUGUAAACUGCUUUAGACAGGGAAGAAUAAAGACAGUACCUGUAGAAUAAGCUCCGGCUAACUACGUGCCAGCAGCCGCGGUAAUACGUAGGGAGCAAGCGUUGUCCGGAUUUACUGGGUGUAAAGGGUGCGUAGGCGGCUUUGCAAGUCAGAUGUGAAAUCUAUGGGCUCAACCCAUAGCCUGCAUUUGAAACUGCAGAGCUUGAGUGAAGUAGAGGCAGGCGGAAUUCCCCGUGUAGCGGUGAAAUGCGUAGAGAUGGGGAGGAACACCAGUGGCGAAGGCGGCCUGCUGGGCUUUAACUGACGCUGAGGCACGAAAGCGUGGGUAGCAAACAGGAUUAGAUACCCUGGUAGUCCACGCUGUAAACGAUGAUUACUAGGUGUGGGGGGUCUGACCCCUUCCGUGCCGGAGUUAACACAAUAAGUAAUCCACCUGGGGAGUACGGCCGCAAGGUUGAAACUCAAAGGAAUUGACGGGGGCCCGCACAAGCAGUGGAGUAUGUGGUUUAAUUCGACGCAACGCGAAGAACCUUACCAAGUCUUGACAUCCCUUGACGAUGCUGGAAACAGUAUUUCUCUUCGGAGCAAGGAGACAGGUGGUGCAUGGUUGUCGUCAGCUCGUGUCGUGAGAUGUUGGGUUAAGU
rnacentral:rRNA from 1 species